rnacentral:rRNA from 1 species
CAUGUAGGCGGGCUUUUAAGUCCGACGUGAAAAUGCGGGGCUUAACCCCGUAUGGCGUUGGAUACUGGGAGUCUUGAGUGCAGGAGAGGAAAGGGGAAUUCCCAGUGUAGCGGUGAAAUGCGUAGAUAUUGGGAGGAACACCAGUGGCGAAGGCGCCUUUCUGGACUGUGUCUGACGCUGAGAUGCGAAAGCCAGGGUAGCAAACG